CAGCAGCCGCGGGAAUACGGAGGGGGCUAGCGUUGUUCGGAAUUACUGGGCGUAAAGCGCACGUAGGCGGCUUGGUAAGUUAGAGGUGAAAGCCCGGAGCUCAACUCCGGAAUUGCCUUUAAGACUGCCGAGCUAGUAGGUGAGAGAGGUAAGUGGAAUUCCGAGUGUAGAGGUGAAAUUCGUAGAUAUUCGGAAGAACACCAGUGGCGAAGGCGGCUUACUGGCUCAUUCUAGACGCUGAGGUGCGAAAGCGUGGGGAGCAAACAGGAUUAGAUACCCCAGUAGUCCCUGUCUCUUAUAC
rnacentral:rRNA from 1 species